GACGUAGGGGGCAAGCGUUGUCCGGAAUCAUUGGGCGUAAAGCGCGCGUAGGCGGCUAGAUCAGUCUGCUGUAAAAGUCAAAGGCUCAACCUUUGAAAGCCGGUGGAUACUGUCUAGCUAGAGUCCGGAAGAGGCGAGUGGAAUUCCUGGUGUAGCGGUGGAAUGCGCAGAUAUCAGGAAGAACACCAAUGGCGAAAGCAGCUUUCUGGGACGGUACUGACGCUGAGACGCGAAAGCGUGGGGAGCGAACAGG
rnacentral:rRNA from 1 species